GAAACCAUAUUCUUGUGAUAUUUGUGGUAAAUCAUUCUCUCAAAAAACUAACGUUACUCAUCACAAAUACACUCAUACAGGGAAGAAACCAUAUCAAUGUGAUAUUUGUGGUAAAUCAUUCUCUCAGCUGAGUACUGUAACCUCUCAUAAAUCCAUUCAUACAAGAGAGAAGCAAUAUCAAUGUAAUAUCUGUGGUAUGGCAUUCUCUCAUAAAAGGAAAUUAUCUCAGCAUGAAGCCACUCAUACAAGAGACAAUCCAUAUCCCUGUGAUAUAUCUGUGUAAAUCAUUUUUUUCUCAAGACAGUUUGACCUCUCAUAGAUACAUUCACGCAGCAGAGAAACAAUAUUCUUGUGAAAUAUUUGUCUAAAAUCUUUCCUUCAGCAAAAGUGA